GUGCCAGCAGCCGCGGUAAUACAGAGGGUGCAAGCGUUGUCCGGAAUGAUUGGGCGUAAAGCAUUUGUAGGUGGUUUCUAAAGUCAACUGUUAAAUCCCAGAGCUCAACUUUGGACAAGCAGUUGAGUACUUAGGGACUUGAGUAUGGUAGGGGUAGAGGGAAUUCCUAGUGGAGCGGUGAAAUGCACAGAGAUUAGGAAGAACACCAGUGGCGAAAGCGCUCUACUGGGCCAUUACUGACACUGAGAGAUGAAAGUCGGGGGAGCGAAAAGGAUUAGAUACCCUUGUAGUCCCGACCGUAAACGAUGGAUACUAAGUGCUGUCAAAAACAGUGCUGUAGCUAACGCGUUAAGUAUCCCGCCUGGGGAGUAUGCUCGCAAGAUUAAAACUCAAAGGAAUUGGCGGGG
rnacentral:rRNA from 1 species